rnacentral:rRNA from 1 species
AUGUCUACCUGCCUCACGGAUAUGAUUAAUGCCAAUGAGAUUGAUUUUAUUUGUCUUCAAGAAACUAUAAAAGAGACAUAUAAGCUAUCCUUUUUUAGGAAGCUUGACCCGAACAAAAAAUUUCAUUGGGAGUGGAUUCCUUCUAGGGGAAAAUCUGGAGGAAUUCUUUGUGGGCUUAGUAAAGAUAAUUUUGAUAUCCUUACAACUAAACAUGGUAAGUACAUCCUGCAGUUAGAUCUGUUUGAUAAAGUCAAGAAUUGUAGGUGGUCUUUGUUGAUUGUUUAUGGUGCUGCUCAUGAUGAACAUAAACCUGAGUUCAUCACGGAGUUGUCUUCUAUGUGCCAUAAUACUAACAUGCCUUAUCUGGUGGGGGGAGAUUUUAAUAUCAUUAGACACAGUGGGGAGAAGAAUAAAAAAACAGACAUUUCACACUUCUCUAACGUGUUUAAUUCUGUCAUACACCUGCUUGGGUUGAGAGAAAUUCACAUGACAGGUGGUUGUUAUACCUGGUCUAAUAAACAAGAAAACCCAACUUUGGAAAAAUUGGAUAGGGUCCUGAUGUCCCUUGAUUGGGAGGAUUUAUACCCCCUUGCAUCAGUAAAUAAGUUAGUCAAAGAGAAUUCUGACCAUAACCCCUUACUGUUGGAUGGUGGGGGAGCCUCAUCUAGAGCACCAGGUAACAGGUGCUUCAGAUUUGAUAACACUUGGCUUAAGAAUCCAGAUUUCCUUCCCCUAGUAUCUGAGAUCUGGUCAAGGCUAGUUUACACUAUCAAUCCCAUCGACUCUUUGAACAUUAAGCUGAAGAGGUUUAAAAAAUUCUUCAAAGGGUGGGGGUCCAAUUUGUUUGGUCAUAACAAAAUUAGAAAGAGGAUUAUUAAGCUUGAACUUCAGGAAUUGGAAAAACUGGAGGAGGAGGUUGGACUUUGUGGGGAAGCCUACACUAGGAAGCUUGCUAUCCUGGUAGAACUUAAUGAGAUGUAUGUAGAAGAGGAGCUGCAUUGGCACCAAUUUUCUAAUGAGAGGUGGCUUUUGCAAGGGGACAAUAACACUGAUUUCUUCCACAAGGUAGCUAACGGGCGUCGUAGAAAAAAUUCCAUGAUUUCCCUCGAAUGUGGAUCUGUGACCAUAGAAGGUACCAAGAACUUAUUAGCCCAUGCCACGGAAUAUUACAGAAACCUUUUUGGACCGGCCCCUGGCAAUCUUUGUCAAAUAGAUGCAACAUUAUGGUCUCGGGAGGAAAAUAUCUCUCUUGAAGAUAAUGAUGACUUGACUCGUCCUUUCUCUCUUGAGGAGAUCAAAAAGGCUUUGUUUGAUAUGAAAUCUAACCGAGCCCCUGGACCGGAUGACAUCCCUGUUGAGUUCUAUCAACAUUGCUGGGAAAUUAUCUCUCCGGAUCUGAUGCGCUUGUUUGAGUGGUUCUAUGAGGGCAAGUUAGAUGUGCAGAGGCUGAACUAUGGCAUUAUAACUCUACUACCUAAAUCAUCAGACGCCAAUAGAAUUCAGCAAUAUAGGCCCAUUUGUUUGUUACGUUGUCCCUACAAAUUACUCACCAAAGCCAUGGAUAUUAGGGCUAGCAAAUACGCGCACAAGUUGUUCAGUAUACAACAAAAUGCUUUCAUUAAAGGGCGGCAUAUAGUUGACGGCAUACUAUCCUUGCAUGAGGUGCUGCACUAUACUCAUAUUAAAAAGCAAGUGGGGUAA